rnacentral:lncRNA from 1 species
GCUUUCCAUUAAUUUUUUCUUCCGUCAGCCAUCCUGGUUCUAUUACUGUUGCCUUCCCCUUGCCGUUGUGAUUGUUUUCGGAUCUAGGAAGCUUCUGUUUUGCCACCUUUUAGUUCUAGUUCUUUUUCUUCUGAGCCGGCCGUUUCCAAAUUAACGGCUCAGAUAUCCCAAUCCACCAACCGACUGCCACCGUCGAUGACAAUAAAAAUAACAGAGUAGUUGACACUUCAAACAACAUUGAAC